CCAGACAGAGAAAUGUGUACAAAUAACUUGGGAGAAGACCAUGAGUAAAUUACUUGGAGAUGGAUGUUGAAGGAAACCACAGAUAAAGUUACUUUUAUUGGAGUUCCUGUUGUGGUGCAGCGGAAACAAAUCCGACUGGAACCAUGAGGUUGCAGGUUCGAUCCCUGGCCUUGCUCAGUGGGUUAAGGAUCUGGCAUUGCUUGGAGCUGUGGUGUAGGUCGCAGACACGGCUCUGAUCUGGCAUUGCUGUAGCUGUGGUGUAGGAUGACAGCUAUAGCUCUGACUGGCCCCCUAGCCUGGAAACCUCCAUAUGCUGAGGGCUUAGCCCUGAAAAGACAAAAGACAAAAACAAACAAACAAGGGCUCUAUAGCUGGAGCCCUUAACACCUUCAUCCAGGUCUCCUGAGCUCUCAGGAACCUACCUCUUCUGUGUGCUUACCCUGUCUGUCUUCCCCUCGCUUUGCUGUUCAUUCUUGGCCAGUGAUUAAUAAAAAAAGUGUUCAUCUCUGUGCACGAUCAACUAAAAUGGGACAGCUUUUCAAGUUUUAAAAUUCAGUGCAAUUUAUUGCCUGGCUUUGUGGUUUCCAAGAUUAUGCACCAUGCCAAAUUGUGGUUUUAUUGACAAAGGAGUCCAUUUAUCUGGCAUGAAUAAGAACUAGCUUCAGAGUAGGCAGUAACUUACUAGAUGGAAAGCGACUGGUGUUAUAUUAUGACUUUAUCUGAGUUUGUGAAAGGUUUGGGUUUCUCUAGCAAAUAUGUUUAUUCCUAGGCAUAGCAGGUGUUUAGAUCCUCAUGAACUAAGUCCUUUCUUGGAACAUGGCAAAUGUAAUAGCUUCUGAGAAGAGCAGCCUGGAGAAAGAGAAUUCAGAUGGGAAGGGGGUAUGUUGGGAAGAGGAGGAAGCAGUGAGGGAAGGCCAGAUGGAAGCCUUCCCCAGCCGUCAGUGAACUUCAUGACCAUGCCACCAUCUUGCCAGAAUAUGGGUGCAUUUUCACUCCACUGAUGCGAGGCUGCUUGAGGCCGCUGUCUUUUCAAAAACACCUCAGGGAAGAAAUUCUACCUUUGGCUAUUGUAUUCAAGUGCCUGUCUUUCUUGUGGAACAUAAAUCCGAAGGGACCCGGAACUCAAGGCUGCCUAAUAUAAUUUUGAGUGUAAACACAGCCUCUUGAUCUCUCCUGCUACACCCUGAAUGGACCAAGGUGGCCAGUGCUGCCACCUACUGGUCUGUGUGUUUUGCCUCUUAUAGAGAAAAGGAAAAUUGUUUCCAAGCUAAUUCCUGGAUUCACAGCAUCUGUGUUUAAGUAUAUUGCCACCUUCCAUUUGCAACUGGGAGGGCUUUCCUAGGAAUUCUAUUCUGUAAGAUAGUAGAUACAAUAAUAAUAGGUGGCAGGCUAGACUAGAGGAUUGAGUGUUCCAGUAAAUUACUGUGAGGAAAGCAAUUUGACAUCCUUUCAUCCUUUGAUGAAAGCUCAAUGUGAAAUCUAGGUGUAAACAUGUAAAAAAGAAUUGAAAGUCACACAUGGAAGGGAGACCUGAAAGUGUGGCAGAAAUCACUACUCAGAGAGGUCCUCAAGGUGGUACCUCGAUUUAACAAUGUUAUUUCUUCCCAAAAUUAAUGCAUCUGUGGAACUUCUUGGCCUUAUUCCUGGAUGCUGUCAAUUUAGCAAAGGACAUUUACACAAAUGGUUUCUGUAGUCGAACUGAUAUUGGGUUGGGAACACUGGCCCAAGAAUUCAAUGUCUUCUAUUUGAAAAGAUGCACAAUACUGGAGAGUUUAGGCAGCCCCAUUUUGGGUUCCUUAACCCAUUAUUAUCUGUUGCUUGAAGACUGACUGUUAAGGGUGACAGACAUGGCUUUUGUUUCUCCGUGCCUUUGUUCUGAGCUUUUGGUAAAUUCAAAAAGAAAUGCAUAGACAUGGCUUUCGCCUCACCUUCCUCUCGAAAACAUGCUUUCUUUGGCCUCACCUCUUCUUCCUUCCUCCAGAUAUACAUAUAAAACGAUACCCUUCUAUUUGGGUUAGUUGUUUUACAUAUAGACAUAUCUUAUUUCUUGGACUAAAUGACAUUUUCCUGGAAAGUGAACUUUUGUUAUCUCCAUAAUGCCUAGAAAAACAAGAUAGUAGUUAGCCAGUAUUAGUUGCAUGCUAACCCUCAGGUAGGUGCUGUGUUAAAUAUGUUAUAUGUAUGAGCCAUGGCAAUGCCAGAAUCUUUAACCCAUUGGGCCAGGCCAGGGAUCAAAUCUGAAACCUUAGCAGCAACCUGAGCUGCUGUAGUCAGAUUCUUAACCUAUUGUGCCACACAGCAGGAACUCCUGUCAGAGGGAUUUAAACUCAGGUUUGUCUUCCUGUACCUCUUCCUUAAUACAUAUACUCAUGAUCCCCCAGUUUCAUGAAACAAACUUUGCCAGAGUUUUGUGUCUUAAAACAACCACAGUUCUACAGUUUAGACAGAGGUUGGCGGGGAUAGGUCAUCUGCAUGGCAACCGGUGUGGCACUACUGGGCCCAGAGGUCCCAUCCAACGUAACCUUGCCUCCAUGGCUAGGGAGCUGGUUGUGGUUGUUGGCUUAGUUCUCAGCCAGGGCUGUUGUUUGGGGGCCUCAGUGCUUUCAACAUGGCCUCUCUUCAGGGUUGGCUUGGGCUUCUGUGGUUUUUUUUUUUUUUUUUUUUUUUUUUUUUUUNUACCUGCGGCAUGUGGAGGUUCCCAGGCUAGGGGUCGAAUCAGAGCUAUAGCCGCUGGCCUUCGCCAGAGCCACAGCAACAUGGGAUCUGAGCUGCAUUUGCAACCUACACCACAGCUCACUGCAAUGCUGGAUCCUUAACCCACUGAGCGAGGCCAGGAAUCGAACCAGCAACCUCAUUGUUCCUAGUCGGAUUCAUUAACCACUGAUCCACAACAGGAACUCCUGGCUCAGGCUUCUUGAAUCACGAAGGCAGGAGAUGCAAGGACUGCUUCUGACAUAAUCUCCAAAGUGGCACAGUAUGAUUUCUGAAGCAUCCUUUGGUUAAAGCAGGUCCCAGGACUAGCCAGAUUCAAGGGAGGGGAACUGCACAGGGCAGGAUUACUAGCAGGCUUGGUUCACAGUCAUGGUUUGAAAUUGAGUCCACCACAUGAAGGCAGCAAAGCCUUUUUCCCUUGUUUUUUAUUAUAAUCUGAGAAUCUGAAAAGUAGAAAUUUAACUACCAUCUAUUCAGCACUAGAGUCAAGACAGAGAAGAUAGAGUUUUCGCUCCUGCCCUAUAAUAGUACCUGAUGCCCUAGGAGUUCAAACAGAAAGAAAAACAAAGCCAAACAAGCAAGAGCGGUGAGUAGAAACAUACUAUGUUCUAGACCAGUUGUCAUAUUCAAUCUGUGAGUAUUUUUAAGAGCAGCAGUGAGCGACCAAGACACAUGCCAUUAGAAUUUCUGGGAUGCCUUUAUUUUAGGCACUUGAACUUGCAUGCUUUUUACGGAGUAGGGAAAUGGUACUCAAACACACAUCACACAUCCUUACCUGUAGGUGCAAGUGAAGGAGUGAAAAUUGGAUAUGCGAGGGUUACGUUCCAUGUCAAGUCAGAGCUGGGGGUGUCUAGCUUAGCAUGGUAGUUUAUUCCAAGAGCAGCAAUAAAGUCAUGUCACUUUUUAUUACAUGCACAGCAUCCAUUUAGGGAAGUGGAUCUUUAGGUUUUAUUUCCAAAAUAGAGCACAUAUUUUCAGUGCUCAUUGAAAGAAGCAGGGGAAAGUGGGUGAGAGGGUGCUAUGGUAGCCCUUGUUAUUUAUAGCCAGUGAUAUUGUUAGUGUUCACCCCACAGAGAACUGAAUCACAUCUAAGCCCAUAAUUUCCAUAUCUUUGGAAAGCUUUUAGCUCCUCACUGCCUGUUGGCAUGGUAACAUGACAAGAGUUAUGAUGUCAAAACCAUAUGAACUCAUGAUUGAUCUAAAAUUAUUUGGGAAACUUUCCCAUUUCAAAUUUCCAUUGAGAGAGAGAGAACGAGAGGCAGAUUAAUUCAAAAGAGAAAAAAAAAAUCCUUUUUUUUUUUUUGUAAUUGCCCUGAAAUAAAUUCUCCAUUUUUGUAGCCAUGUAAUGCUAAAAGAUUACUGUCCUUCUGAUGCUUUUGGCACUGUCUUUCAAAGUCAGAUAUUUUAAUCUCCCUUUCUUUUUUUAUUUUUUUUCCCUAUUCUGAUUGAAAUCAGUGGUUUUAGCACUCUUUAGGCUACACAUGCACAAAGAGCAGGUGCAUGGUCUGAGGAAUGCCCUUUGGAAUUUGCAGGUGUCUCCUGAAGUGAAGGUGGCCUUGAGGAAAUGUUCAAAGUUGGCAGAGAGAUUAGGAGACACGAAGACCUACUGUCUUUUGGGUAUUUGAAUGCUGUAGGUGUUUCUAUCACUUCCAUGUAGAGGAGCAAACAAAAGGGUCACAGAGAUGAAAUAAGUCACUUGAGGCCAGAAGCCAGACAGUGAAAAAGUGGCAGAAACAAGAUUUAUGGGGAGAAAAAAAAAUCUGAGCUUGUUAACCAGAGGUGUAGGAUACACUCAGGGGAAAAUAAGUAAACAUUACAAAGCUUUAUCACUUUAGGGAAUUUAUUAAACCUAGUUUCUUUAUAGGGACCUCAGUUUACCAAUCUGUAAAUGGGGAGAAACAUAGAAACCUGGCUAUGAGGACAAACUAUAAGCAGUUGAGCUCAAGACAGAGCCCAGUCCUUGUAUGAAAAAGUUCUAAUACUGAUUGCUCUGUAGAAGCAAAUAGAUUUAUGUGGAACUUUCAAAGACAGAAGGAUAAACACAUCUUAUUUCAGAUACCACUUUCUUUGUGUCCUAAGAUGUAGAACUUGACCAUAAUGCUGGACCUUGGCAUGGCUACUUCUGCUGCCCAAAUCAUUUCUUGUCUAUAACCCAAUUUCAAACUGACCACACUUAAAUUCCUGAUCUGCAAUUUUCAUCAUUAUUUCUCUGCAUAAUUUACAGCCAAAAGAGUGUUUGAAGUUGGAGAGAGGUGUGAUUUUCUUCUGCAUAAUGUUAUUAAUUAGACUCACAUUCACAUGUAUUUUUGAGCAGAUUUUUAAUUAAAGGCUUACAAUGGGUCAGGCACUCUUACACAAAAGCUAAACAAAAUAGACAACAGCUCUUGUUGGAAGCUUAUAUUUUAGUGUAGGAAACAGAUAAAAAAAUAUAAAGAUGUGAAACAUAUACAAUAUUCUAUAAUAAAAAUACUAAGAAGAAACUAAACUAGAAAGUAGUUAAACUAAGCAUAUGAGGCCUCAGGACUGAGGCUGAGAUUUUGAUCGGGUAGCUUGGAAAUGUAUCACUGGGGUGACUUUUCACGCAGAUACUGGGAGGAAGGAGCAUCAGGACAGGAAGAGGGAAUAGCAAAUGCAAAGGCCCUGAGGUCCAAGGUGUUCGGGAAGAGCAAGAAGGCCAGAUAGCUUGGAGCAGAGUGAAUGAGGAGGAGGGUGGGAAAUGUCUUAUUUUCUGUCCUUAGAACACCAGGACAGAGGUAGUGAGCGCAUGCAUCUGAAAUAAAUCAGAGGUGGCCUCCCUAAGGUAACAGAAUGGGUUUGAGUUUGACCCAGACUUGGGACUCCAGCUCUAAUGGCAUUUUUGGGAUGCCUGGUCUUCAGCUCUUCUUAACAAUUGGAAUCAUUCUGAGUUAUUUUAUCACUGUUCACUCUUCCCAUGUAUGAGGGGAAAACUUUGUAAGCCUUUCUCAGCCUUGAGCAGCUUUCUUUAAUAAUUCCAUAGAACUAGGGAGUUUCCAUUGUGGCUCACUAGGUUAAGAGCCCGACAUAGUCUCUGUGAGGAUGCUCAGGUUCUAUCUUUGGUCUCACUUAGUGGGUUAAGGGUCUGGCAUUGUUGCAAGCUAUGGUGUAGGUCUCGGAUGUAGCUUGUAUCUGGUGUUGUUGUGGCUGUGGCAUAGGUUGCAGCUGCAGCCCCAAUUCAACCUCUAGCCUGGA
rnacentral:lncRNA from 1 species